UUAAGUUUUUCCGACAACAUCAAGAUCAUGUCUUUGUCCAACGAUUCUAAUUUAGUCGACAUUAUUUCUUAGGUAUAUAUUUUAUCGAUAAUCGUAACAACUUUAAUUUUUUGUGGAGCGAAUCGAACCGUUUAAACCAACUUUAAUCCUCCGUGAAGCGGAUCCCACCGCUGCCACCAAAAAUUUAAAUCUCUAAUGUUACGUAUCAAUUUGUUUGUUUAAAUCGAUCAAAUCUUAAGUUUAAAUUUUACUGAAAAAUUUUUUUUUUUCGUUUGAGUUUGAAUUUAAUCUUAAGGGAAAUAAAUUGAAUUGAUAUUAUUGUGUAUGUAAUACUGAUUUAGAUUUCUAAUUAAUACGGUAGUUGCUGCCACCAGAAAUAGUCUAAGGACUAUUUCAAAAUAUUUUAUUUUUUAUUAUCUUUUUUCGUUUAAUGGGUAGCGUUAACUGACGCUUAAUGCAACUGGUAAACGAUUUCCACUUUUCGGCUAACCUGCUAUGUGCAGGGAUAUUGGCACGGGAGAGGAUUAAAGCUGGGAACAAUAAAUAUUUGUCCUCGUUAAACGGAUUUUUAUUUGAAUGUAGAAUUGCUUAGAUUAUUACCUUUAUAUAUAUUUUAUUAGCCGGAUAUAUAUAUUUUAGCGUUGCUGGAUUGGAUAGGAAUGUGAGAUUUUUCGUUGUUUUAUAUAAAUUUAUUUUUACGUUUGACUUCUUCUUCUCUUUUAAUUUCGCUGUAGUAGUUUGCCGUUAGAACCGAAACUCAAUUCAUUUACUACGAUGGAUUCUGUUACCAUGAUUUUCUUGCCUUUUGAGUUUAAUAAUCGAGGAUGAUUCUAACGAUCCUCUCUGUGUGGGACUCGUGUGAUUUCGCAAGCCUUGCCCAAAGACGGGUAAUAUUUUACCAACAGUGGGAGGAGGAAUGCGAAGAUCGAUGGGUGUUUUCGAUAAUCGAAAACACCGUUUGCACAAGCCAACACAGCGAACGAUCCUUUGGUUAAAUUUUCGAAGGGAAAUUGUUCUGCUAUUUCUCUCUUACAAUCGCAUGCAAUGAUGGCAAGAAUAUCGGUUAAUAGCAAUGCCGGUAUUGCUCUUAAUUUUCGAUUGACCCCGACGAUGUAUUUAAUGGUCCUCUCUGUGCGGGACUUGUGUGAUUUCGCAAGCCUUGCCCAAAGACGGACAAUAUUUUGCCAACAAUGGAAGGAGGAAUGCGAAGAUCAGUGGGUGUUUCAGUAGCUGAAAAUACCGUUCGCACAAGCCGACACAGCGGACAACUCCUUUGUUUAAAGUUUAAACAAUGAUUCUAUCUUCAAAACCGUUCACGAAAAUAAAACGAGAUCGAUGAUAGGAAGUUCUAAUUCGAUUCUCGAGGGCAACGAGAUUAUCAGAGAAGAAGGAAAUUUUCAAAAUUAAUUUUCUUACCUUGAGGAGUAGGUGCUGUCUGGUGCCAUUACCUCAGCUGCUCCGGUGGUCGUCGAAGUUUUUGUUGGGUUUAUUACUUGAACUCGAAUAUAGUUUACUAUCAACUUUUACUUUAUUUAUCUAUUUCGAUACAGACUGAACAAUUUACUAACUGGAUUAAUACCGCAAUUACAAUGCGCGUUUCUGUCUAAGCGAUGAAAUGAGGACUUCAAAGAUAAAAUCUUUCUUUUACUUAGUCGCGGUUCUCUUUUCUUGACCGAAAAACUAAAGACCCCGAAACGCAAAAUACUAUACAAAAUUUCUAAACGCAAUGAUGAGCGCAAUAACGAACGUAGUAACAAUGAACACAAAAUAUAAUGAGCACAAGAAUAAUGAACGGUAAUAACAAUGAUCACUAUAAUAAUGAACGCAAGGAUAAUAAACGUAAUACGAAUGAUCCGUAAUAACAAUGAACACAAAAUAUAAUGAGCGUAAUAAGAAUGUUCACCAGAAUAAUAAUGAGCGCUGCUCUAUGUUGCUUCGCUUAUUUAUAAUGCCAUCCCCCACGGGGUGGUGGUCCACUGGGGGUACGCUUCCGUGGGAAUCGGGAUGUUGCAGUUUGGGUUUCUUGGAAUCGUACGUGACAAAAUGUAAAUUCCGUAUUUCGACUUAGUUUUUAUCGGUCCUGUGCUUCUGCUGAGCUAGCGUCUAGGAGGCUUGAAGCAUUCCAUGCUGAUCUAGUCUUUUCCGCGAGAAACUUCUAUGUUUUGUACCGUGGGAAUUACCCGUGUUUCUUCGGCGCGUGCAAGGGCCGGCGGCUGCAGCAUAAUUAUCACCUCGAUGUUUGCUCGGGCAACACGCGCAAUUCCGCUGCUCUCCCACAACAAGGACCUCCUUCUUCGAGUUAUUUUUCGUAAGUUUGGAUAUUCGCAUAUUAUGGUUGUUUUUGCGAUUUUAAUGUUUUUUCCUUUUUUGUUGUUUCCCUAGGCUUCGGUGAUCGUCGUUCGGACAAUGUUUGCGGAGGCAUUUCCAUCAGAGAAUAAGGAAAUCAGGAUCAUGAUAAAUAAUUGGAACAUAAUUAAAAAUAAUAUAUCUUCUCUAUAAGAUAAUGAAUACAUUGGUUCAUUUAAUUUUUAUGGAUAUUCAAACGCUUCUGUGAAAUAAAACGUCAAGAUUAUAGAGUAUAAAAUUCAUAGCUAUGAAAUAACUAAAACUCUGAUGUAUUAUUAAAAAUAUACGUUAGGUUGUAUGUAGUGAUACAUACAAAGAUUACAUGUACAAACCCAUAAUUAACACAAUGCUACCGCAACCAUUCUGCAAUCUACCUUGCCCAAAACACUCCUCCAGUCACCUCCAAACUCUUCAAUUCUCUCCACCUAACCACCCACAAACCAUUCACAAACAUGCAAUUCUCGACAAAAGAAGAACUUAUCGUCAGUUGUCCUUAACAUCUCGUUCAUUCAUUUGGUCCCUAUCCCCCUAUUUCCUCCCACUGCGAUGAUCGCACUACAUUUUUCCACGUCUCUAUUCUAUUCUCUGGAUGAUCUGAAUUCUCGAGCAGUCGAGUGACGAUUGAUCUGUACAAUUGAUCGAUUUCUUUUUACUACAGACAUGCAAGAAAUUCCGUGUUGGAGAGCGAUGUUGCGAGUUCGAGUGCC